rnacentral:rRNA from 1 species
CAUUACCGAGUGAGGGCCCUUUGGGUCCAACCUCCCACCCGUGUUUAUUUACCUCGUUGCUUCGGCGGGCCCGCCUUAACUGGCCGCCGGGGGGCUCACGCCCCCGGGCCCGCGCCCGCCGAAGACACCCCCGAACUCUGCCUGAAGAUUGUCGUCUGAGUGAAAAUAUAAAUUAUUUAAAACUUUCAACAACGGAUCUCUUGGUUCCGGCAUCGAUGAAGAACGCAGCGAAAUGCGAUACGUAAUGUGAAUUGCAAAUUCAGUGAAUCAUCGAGUCUUUGAACGCACAUUGCGCCCCCUGGUAUUCCGGGGGGCAUGCCUGUCCGAGCGUCAUUGCUGCCCUCAAGCCCGGCUUGUGUGUUGGGCCCCGUCCUCCGAUUCCGGGGGACGGGCCCGAAAGGCAGCGGCGGCACCGCGUCCGGUCCUCGAGCGUAUGGGGCUUUGUCACCCGCUCUGUAGGCCCGGCCGGCGCUUGCCGAUCAACCCAAAUUUUUAUCCAGGUUGACCU